rnacentral:misc_RNA from 1 species
UAUCCGUAGGUGAACCUGCGGAAGGAUCAUUACCGAGUGAGGGCCCUCUGGGUCCAACCUCCCACCCGUGUUUAUCGUACCUUGUUGCUUCGGCGGGCCCGCCUCACGGCCGCCGGGGGGCACCCGCCCCCGGGCCCGCGCCCGCCGAAGACACCAUUGAACGCUGUCUGAAGAUUGCAGUCUGAGCAUCUUAGCUAAAUCAGUUAAAACUUUCAACAACGGAUCUCUUGGUUCCG